GUGGGGAAUCUUGCGCAAUGGGGGAAACCCUGACGCAGCGACGCCGCGUGAGUGAUGAAGGCCUUCGGGUUGUAAAGCUCUGUGGAGAGGGACGAAUAAGUCGGAGCGAAUAUCUCCGAUGAUGACGGUACCUUUUUAGCAAGCACCGGCUAACUCUGUGCCAGCAGCCGCGGUAAGACAGAGGGUGCAAACGUUGUUCGGAAUUACUGGGCGUAAAGCGCGUGUAGGCUGCUUGGAAAGUCGGAUGUGAAAGCCCUGGGCUCAACCUAGGAAGUGCAUUCGAAACUUCCAAGCUGGAGUUUCGGAGAGGAAGGCGGAAUUCUCGGUGUAGAGGUGAAAUUCGUAGAUAUCGAGAGGAACACCGGUGGCGAAGGCGGCCUUCUGGACGAUGACUGACGCUGAGACGCGAAAGCGUGGGGAGCAAACAGGAUUAGAAACCCUGGUAGUCC
rnacentral:rRNA from 1 species